UCGAGAAUCUUCCGCAAUGGGCGUAAGCCUGACGGAGCGACACCGCGUGCAGGAUGAAGGCCUUCGGGUUGUAAACUGCUGUCAGGUUCUAGGAACAACUUGGUGUUAACAGCGCCAAGUCUGACCAAGACCAAAGGAAGCAACGGCUAACUCUGUGCCAGCAGCCGCGGUAAGACAGAGGUUGCAAACGUUGUUCGGAAUUACUGGGCAUAAAGCGCACGUAGGCGGUCCACUAAGUCAGGUGUGAAAUCCCCCGGCUCAACCGGGGAAUUGCGCCUGAUACUGGCGGGCUUGAGAUCGGUAGGGGUGAGCGGAACUCCAGGUGGAGCGGUGAAAUGCGUAGAUAUCUGGAGGAACACCGGUGGCGAAAGCGGCUCACUGGAUCGACACUGACGCUGAGGUGCGAAAGCUAGGGUAGCAAACGGGAUUAGAUACCCCCGUAGUCC
rnacentral:rRNA from 1 species